rnacentral:rRNA from 1 species
AACGAACGCUGGCGGCGUGCUUAACACAUGCAAGUCGAACGCGAAAGUUUUCUUCGGAAAGCGAGUAGAGUGGCGCACGGGUGAGUAACGCGUAAGUAAUCUACCCUGGUAUCUGGGAUAACCAACCGAAAGGUUGGCUAAUACCGGAUACGCUGGUAACAGGAAAGGUGGCCUCUUCAUGAAAGCUACUGUACCAGGAGGAGCUUGCGUACCAUUAGCUAGUUGGUAGGGUAAUGGCCUACCAAGGCGACGAUGGUUAGCGGGUCUGAGAGGAUGAUCCGCCACACUGGAACUGGAACACGGACCAGACUCCUACGGGAGGCAGCAGUGAGGAAUAUUGCGCAAUGGGGGAAACCCUGACGCAGCGACGCCGCGUGGAUGAUGAAGGCCUUCGGGUCGUAAAAUCCUGUCAGAUGGAAAGAAGUGUA